GAAGUCCAUUAUGUUAUUGUGUUAUGCUGUUGUUGUUGUGUUUGAUUUGUUGGACAAAGUAUGAUGAGGUUGAUGAUUUCUUGUGACCCUUUUUUUUUGUUGCUUUGUGUCGUGGGGUGGUAGUAUUGCUUACUUGCAUAUCCAUUGUUUAUUGUUAAUGUAGGCUCCCACUUUGAAUGAUGUGAAGGCUUUUUCUAGUGUUGUGUCCUGGAAAAGUUUGAUAAAUCGAGGAAGAAAGUGGUGAAUGUGAUGGGUUUUGGUAGCUUGUUAAUGACACCCCUGACUUUUUUCCCUCGUAAAUUUGCGUAUUGGGUCCUGACUAGAGUUGGUGGGGAUGGUUCCUUAAUGUUUGGGGAUGGUUACGUUUUCCCUCUUAGCCGUGUACAAAUACAAUGUGUGCUUGGGAUCCUGAUGGGUACGAGACAAGUCCAUUCAAAAGUUCCUGAGGAUGGUGAUGUGAAGCUUGAGGUACAGCGUAUCAAGGAUUGUUUUCAACAGGGGACAACAUCUCAUUGAGUCUAGCUUCGACUGCCCUGUUUCGGUGGGGAGGCAACAAUGAAUUGAUGCCUUUAACAUCUGAAUCUGACAUAGCACAUUUCAGGUUAGCUUUUGUGAUAGUUCUUCUUGGAUACUUGUUGUGUCCAACUACAAAUACAAGCAAAUUGGCAGCCUCAUUAACUCCGGCAUUAACAGUGUGUGGAAAGACCGCGGAGUAUGACUGGUGCACUUUGACAUUUGAUUGCCUUUGCCAGGCAGCAAAGAAGUUUUAGAAAAAAUUCACAGAGACAGGAUAUGUUGCUGGGUCUAGAGGGUGCCUGCUGUUUCUUCUGUUGUUUUAUAUUAAUCAUCUGAGCCGCGUACCCGUGUAAUGGGGAGUGCUUCCUAGGAUAAAGGUUUGGACAUAAAAAAAAAUAAGUGAAGUCUGAACUGAAGACAAAUUUAAGAAAGGUGACUUUGGUCGUUCGAAGUCUAUGAAUGUAGCUUACGGGGAGUCGCAUCCCUUGGCAUGUCGCGAUUCGUCCAAGUCUGGUGUUGAUUUUGAUGUUAAUAAGAUAUCAAAACAGGUAAUGAAGAGGGUUGUUCCUCAGUUGAUCUCUGCUGUUGACAAAAAAGUCGGAGCUGUGUUUGAGAAAAUGAAUGAGUUGUUAGGAACAGCCAUGGCAGCAACAACAGCAAGUGGGUUUGGCAAACAUAUAUUUGUUAAUGAAAAAGAAACGAAAAGGAAGCAUGUGUAGGUUUUGCGGCUACCAUGAAAAAUGUUGAAGUGGAAAUCGAACGUGUAAUAGGGACUGAUGUUGGUAAGAUGGUAUUGGAAAGUUGUGACAUUGAAGGUUAGAGUUUAUGAGCCAGCUGUUUCUGCCAAUGUGAGUCAGUUUGUGAGUGACAAAGGCUAGGAAGGGCCUUUAGCUGGAAGAGUUGGUUGUGAAGUAGCAGGUGGCCAAGGUUUGCUUCGCAGCGAUGGGAAAGAUGAGGUUGUUGAUGUUGACCAGGACAACAAGGGACAGGGACAGGAAAGCCCUGACCAAGACAACAACAAGGGAAAGGAAAGCCCUGACCAGGGCAGCACCAAGGCACAUGCCACUGCUGCCGUGCCAUAGACAACAACAACAACGGACAUGCUAAUUUCAUUGACAGUACCCUUGAGGAGAAAGUUGAGGAUAGGAGGGUUGUUAUGGGAUUGGUUGGUACUACAGGGACCAAUUUGGAGAGGGAUGGUGGUGUAGGCGACAGAGAUAGUUCAUCAGAAUCUGAUGGUAAGAAGUCAUGGAUGGAUAAGAACGACGGCACGACCUGUAAGCGAAAGCGGGUUGUGAAACCCACUGAAGCUGGAAUUUUAGAGAUGUGUGCGAAGUCAUCCAAAACUCAAAGGCACACCCCAUUCGAGACUCGGUUGUUGUUGUUUGUACGUGUGUGGAAAGAUUACAACAAUCCCUUACGGUGAGCCCAUUUUUACAUCCCACAUUUGUAUGACGUAAUCCUUUUUCAUUUUAAUGUUUUUCUUCUUGAGUGCUGGCAUUCAUAACAUGUAUCCUUUGUGAGGUGUUCAUUCGUUGUGAGAACAUUGUUGCUAAUCAGAAGGAUUGCUUUGGCAUUCUUCACCUAAGAGCUCGGGUAGGAGAUGGUUAUGUAAGGAUGGCCAGUGUUAUGUACACUAAGCAUUGGGCCACAAAGCAAUUUUUAACAGAAGCAAGCGUAUUAUGCUCGACCCCAGCUUCGCUAAUCGGAUUAUGUUGAAUGAAGGGAAAGAUGAACAUGUAGCUAAGAAGUAUGGGAAGGUUUUCUUAAGUUAUAAACUGUGCAACAUUCGAACCGUAAGUAUUCUGUGCAGUUACCUCUGUGUGAGUAGUAUACUCAUUGUUACUAAUUUGAUUCUAUUGGCCCGUUGUUUCAUUGCUUUAGUGUAGGUUUUCAUUCCAGUAUUAGAAGUUCCCCCUAAAUCUCUAGAUGAUUCGCACUGGUGGUGCCUAGCUCUAGAGUUGAAGGGAAAACUGUUUAGAUUAUAGAUUCCAUCUACACCGACCCUUAUACUCACAUGAGAAGAUUAAUGAGCUUCUGGUUUGCUUUAGAACUCAUUAUCUGUUUUGAAGUUUAUUUUAAAACUUUUUUACAUUUGAUUCGAAUUUGCGAACUUUGUAGUUAUAUAGACAUUGCUUCUCAUUAAUAGCGUUUCUUGGGUGCUGAAUGAUAAUCAGAUGAGGGUUGUUGACAUGUUGUUUAGCUUGAGUGAUUCUACCUGGAAGUGUGGUGAGAUAAAGCAUUGGCCAAGGUCCACCAUUGAGGUCGAGGAGCCUUCUAACUCGGAAUACUGUGGGGUUUACAUGUGGGCUUGCAUCAAGUACUGUGCUAGAAGAUUUACAACAAAGUUUGGUGUGAUGAAUGACUAGGUUAUGAGUUCAAUGAGUAGUUAUUUGAUAGGCGUCCUUCUUGUUGCUAACCAUUUAUUAUCUUUGCGGCAGGGGAAUAUAUGUCAGGCAAGGGCUAACCUUUUUUUAGAUGAUGUUCAAUCAGAAAAGAAUGAAUUGAAAGACCAGCUAGAAGGCGUGCUGCCUAUUUCAAGAAAAACGGAACACACUCACUAAUAUUGGUUUAGUUUUUCUGGGGAGCUUGUCAUUUUGUGGUUGUGGUAGUGUUAAACUGUUUGCCUUCAACUUAGGUUAGUUGAAGUUAACUCAUGCACAAGUAACUACAUAGCAAGUUGUUCUCUUUUGGGUUUGUUUUCUUGUAGGAUGAAGUUAACUUCAGGUGGUAUUCUCUUUUGCCCUUUUUGUAAAUGGUACAUCAAUCUGAACUAAAUUCUGUCUUUUUCUGUUUAAUGGUUCA